ACCGUGAGGGAAAGGCGAAAAGAACCCCGGCGAGGGGAGUGAAAAAGAACCUGAAACCGUGUACGUACAAGCAGUGGGAGCACGCUUAGGCGUGUGACUGCGUACCUUUUGUAUAAUGGGUCAGCGACUUAUAUUCUGUAGCAAGGUUAACCGAAUAGGGGAGCCGAAGGGAAACCGAGUCUUAACUGGGCGUUAAGUUGCAGGGUAUAGACCCGAAACCCGGUGAUCUAGCCAUGGGCAGGUUGAAGGUUGGGUAACACUAACUGGAGGACCGAACCGACUAAUGUUGAAAAAUUAGCGGAUGACUUGUGGCUGGGGGUGAAAGGCCAAUCAAACCGGGAGAUAGCUGGUUCUCCCCGAAAGCUAUUUAGGUAGCGCCUCGUGAAUUCAUCUCCGGGGGUAGAGCACUGUUUCGGCAAGGGGGUCAUCCCGACUUACCAACCCGAUGCAAACUGCGAAUACCGGAGAAUGUUAUCACGGGAGACACACGGCGGGUGCUAACGUCCGUCGUGAAGAGGGAAACAACCCAGACCGCCAGCUAAGGUCCCAAAGUCAUGGUUAAGUGGGAAACGAUGUGGGAAGGCCCAGACAGCCAGGAUGUUGGCUUAGAAGCAGCCAUCAUUUAAAGAAAGCGUAAUAGCUCACUGGUCGAGUCGGCCUGCGCGGAAGAUGUAACGGGGCUAAACCAUGCACCGAAGCUGCGGCAGCGACGCUGAUGCGUUGUUGGGUAGGGGAGCGUUCUGUAAGCCUGUGAAGGUGUGCUGUGAGGCAUGCUGGAGGUAUCAGAAGUGCGAAUGCUGACAUAAGUAACGAUAAAGCGGGUGAAAAGCCCGCUCGCCGGAAGACCAAGGGUUCCUGUCCAACGUUAAUCGGGGCAGGGUGAGUCGACCCCUAAGGCGAGGCCGAAAGGCGUAGUCGAUGGGAAACAGGUUAAUAUUCCUGUACUUGGUGUUACUGCGAAGGGGGGACGGAGAAGGCUAUGUUGGCCGGGCGACGGUUGUCCCGGUUUAAGCGUGUAGGCUGGUUUUCCAGGCAAAUCCGGAAAAUCAAGGCUGAGGCGUGAUGACGAGGCACUACGGUGCUGAAGCAACAAAUGCCCUGCUUCCAGGAAAAGCCUCUAAGCAUCAGGUAACAUCAAAUCGUACCCCAAACCGACACAGGUGGUCAGGUAGAGAAUACCAAGGCGCUUGAGAGAACUCGGGUGAAGGAACUAGGCAAAAUGGUGCCGUAACUUCGGGAGAAGGCACGCUGAUAUGUAGGUGAAGCGACUUGCUCGUGGAGCUGAAAUCAGUCGAAGAUACCAGCUGGCUGCAACUGUUUAUUAAAAACACAGCACUGUGCAAACACGAAAGUGGACGUAUACGGUGUGACGCCUGCCCGGUGCCGGAAGGUUAAUUGAUGGGGUCAGCGCAAGCGAAGCUCUUGAUCGAAGCCCCGGUAAACGGCGGCCGUAACUAUAACGGUCCUAAGGUAGCGAAAUUCCUUGUCGGGUAAGUUCCGACCUGCACGAAUGGCGUAAUGAUGGCCAGGCUGUCUCCACCCGAGACUCAGUGAAAUUGAACUCGCUGUGAAGAUGCAGUGUACCCGCGGCAAGACGGAAAGACCCCGUGAACCUUUACUAUAGCUUGACACUGAACAUUGAGCCUUGAUGUGUAGGAUAGGUGGGAGGCUUUGAAGUGUGGACGCCAGUCUGCAUGGAGCCGGCCUUGAAAUACCACCCUUUAAUGUUUGAUGUUCUAACGUUGACCCGUGAUCCGGGUUGCGGACAGUGUCUGGUGGGUAGUUUGACUGGGGCGGUCUCCUCCUAAAGAGUAACGGAGGAGCACGAAGGUUGGCUAAUCCUGGUCGGACAUCAGGAGGUUAGUGCAAUGGCAUAAGCCAGCUUGACUGCGAGCGUGACGGCGCGAGCAGGUGCGAAAGCAGGUCAUAGUGAUCCGGUGGUUCUGAAUGGAAGGGCCAUCGCUCAACGGAUAAAAGGUACUCCGGGGAUAACAGGCUGAUACCGCCCAAGAGUUCAUAUCGACGGCGGUGUUUGGCACCUCGAUGUCGGCUCAUCACAUCCUGGGGCUGAAGUAGGUCCCAAGGGUAUGGCUGUUCGCCAUUUAAAGUGGUACGCGAGCUGGGUUUAGAACGUCGUGAGACAGUUCGGUCCCUA
rnacentral:rRNA from 1 species